GGGGAAUAUUGCACAAUGGGGGAAACCCUGAUGCAGCAACGCCGCGUGAGUGAUGACGGUCUUCGGAUUGUAAAGCUCUGUUUUCAGGGACGAUAAUGACGGUACCUGAGGAGGAAGCCACGGCUAACUACGUGCCAGCAGCCGCGGUAAUACGUAGGGGGCAAGCGUUACCCGGAUUUACUGGGUGUAAAGGGAGCGUAGACGGCUAUGCAAGUCUGGUGUGAAAACCCGGGGCUCAACCCCGGGACUGCAUUGGAAACUGGGUGGCUUGAGUGUCGGAGAGGUAAGUGGAAUUCCUAGUGUAGCGGUGAAAUGCGGAGAUAUUAGGAGGAACACCAGUGGCGAAGGCGGCUUACUGGACGAUGACUGACGUUGAGGCUCGAAAGCGUGGGGAGCAAAC
rnacentral:rRNA from 1 species